UGAGUACGAGACGCUAAGGCGUUGAAGCAGUCUAUGUCAGACUUCCAAGAAAAGCUCGCAAUGUCAUAAACAAAAAUGCCUGUACCAUAACCGACACAGGUGGGUAGGUAGAGUAUACUAAGGGGCGCGAGAUAACUCUCUCUAAGGAACUCGGCAAAAUGACUCCGUAACUUCGGGAGAAGGAGUGCCUUAUUUUUAUAAGGUUGCAAUAACAAGAUCCAAGCAACUGUUUACCAAAAACACAGGUCUCCGCUAAGUCGUAAGACGAUGUAUGGGGGCUGACGCCUGCCCAGUGCCAGAAGGUUAAAGAAGUUGGUUAGUUUCGGCGAAGCUGAUGACUGAAGCCCUGGUGAACGGCGGCCGUAACAAUAACGGUCCUAAGGUAGCGAAAUUCCUUGUCGGGUAAGUUCCGACCCGCACGAAAGGCGUAAUGAUUUGGAUACUGUCUCGGAGAGGGGCUCGGUGAAAUAGACUUGUCUGUGAAGAUGCGGACUACCUGCACCUGGACAGAAAGACCCUAUGAAGCUUUACUGUAACUUGAGAUUGAAAUUGGACUUUAUUUGCGCAGUAUAGGUGGGAGACGUUGAGAAUAUUCUUGCGGGAAUAUUGGAGUCAUCAGUGAGAUACCACUCUUGUAAUGUUAGAUUUCUAACUUUGUAUCAUUAUCUGGUCAAAGGACAGUUUCAGGCGGGCAGUUUGACUGGGGCGGUCGCCUCCCAAACGGUAACGGAGGCGCACAAAGGUUUCCUCGAACGUGUAGAAAUCGUAUCUAGAGUGUAAAGGCAUAAGGAAGCUUGACUGUGAGACCUACAAGUCGAGCAGGGACGAAAGUCGGUCUUAGUGAUCUGACGGUGCUGAGUGGAAAGGCCGUCACUCAACGGAUAAAAGUUACUCUAAGGAUAACAGGCUGAUCUCCCCCAAGAGUUCACAUCGACGGGGAGGUUUGGCACCUCGAUGUCGGCUCAUCGCAUCCUGGGGCGGUAGUACGUCCCAAGGGUUGGGCUGUUCGCCCAUGAAAGCGGUACGCGAGCUGGGUUCAGAACGUCGUGAGACAGUUCGGUCCAUAUCCGGUGUAGGCGUUAGAAUAUUGAGAGGAGCCUUCUUUAGUACGAGAGGACCGAGAAGGACAUACCUCUGGUGUACCAGUUAUCGUGCCAACGGUAAACGCUGGGUAGCUAUGUAUGGAGUGGAUAACCGCUGAAAGCAUCUAAGUGGGAAGCCCACCUCAAGAUAAGUAUUCUC
rnacentral:rRNA from 1 species